CGUUUGACGUUAGCGACAGAAGAAAGCACCGGCUAACUCCGUGCCAGCAGCCGCGGUAAUACGGAGGGUGCGAGCGUUAAUCGGAAUUACUGGGCGUAAAGCGCAUGCAGGUGGUUUGUUAAGUCAGAUGUGAAAGACCCGGGGCGUCAACCUCGGAAUAGCAUUUGAAACUAGGCAGACUAGAGUACUGUAGAGGGGGGUAGGAAUUUCAGGUGUAGCGGUGAAAUAGCGUAGAGAUCUGAAGGAAUACCGGUGGCGAAGGCGGCCCCCUCGGACAGAUACUGACACUCAGAUGCGAAAGCGUGGGGAGCAAACAGGAUUAGAUACCCUGGUAG
rnacentral:rRNA from 1 species